CACAGAGGUCUCAAGCGUUGUUCGGAUUCAUUGGGCGUAAAGGGUGCGUAGGCGGCGGAGCAAGUCUGAUGUGAAAUCCCGGGGCUCAACCCCGGAACUGCACUGGAUACUGCUCUGCUAGAGAUCUGGAGAGGAGACUGGAAUUUACGGUGUAGCAGUGAAAUGCGUAGAGAUCGUAAGGAAGACCAGUGGCGAAGGCGAGUUCCUGGACAGUUACUGACGCUGAGGCACGAAGGCCAGGGGAGCAAACGGG
rnacentral:rRNA from 1 species